rnacentral:rRNA from 1 species
CAGCACCUCAAGUGGUCAGGAUGAUUAUUGGGCCUAAAGCAUCCGUAGCCGGCGCUGUAAGUUUUCGGUUAAAUCUGUACGCUCAACGUACAGGCUGCCGGGAAUACUGCAGCGCUAGGGAGUGGGAGAGGUAGACGGUACUCGGUAGGAAGGGGUAAAAUCCUUUGAUCUAUUGAUGACCACCUGUGGCGAAGGCGGUCUACCAGAACACGUCCGACGGUGAGGGAGGAAAGCUGGGGGAGCAAACCGGAUUAGAUACCCGAGUAGUCC